GUGAUCAUACCCGCACUAAUGCACCGGAUCCCAUCAGAACUCUGAAGUUAAGCGUGUUUGGGCGAGAGAAGUAAUUGGAUGGGUGACCCCCUAGGAAGUCCUCGUGUUGCACCU
rnacentral:rRNA from 1 species